AGGAAAUCAAGACCCAGAAAAAGUUACAUUACCUAGCUGAAUUAUGUUGUUCAUUUAUUCCAGAAAUAGUAAUUGAAGUCCUAUGUCUGCCAGGGUUUGUUCUAGUUUUGCUCUAAAAAUGGACCAAGGUACUGUUCUCAUUUCAUCAGAAAGAAUGAACGAGAAGACACGGUGAGCAUUAAUGGCAAACUGAAAAUAUGAAGGAGCAUUUUAUCUACAAUAAAAGUUGGACUGUGUCAAGUCUCUGAAGGGAAGCAAUGAAGAUAAUACACUUCCCUGGUAUUGACUAAACACUUGCUUCUAUAUGGGGCAUUCUGGACAAGAGAGAUCUGCAAGUGAUUCCAGAAGACCAAGAAAUCAAAGAGAAACAUUGGAGGUUCUACUUGUCAAAUGUGUAUGACUCUUCUGAUAAUUCAGAAGAGUGGAGAGAGCAAGACGAAAGGAAAGAGAGAAAAUUACAACUGUAAACAGACUCUGGACAGCGAAGGAUCAAAACAGCCUCUGGCUUGACUGGAUGAGUCAUAGCUAUAGUCAGACCACAAAUAGAAGCAUAGCUUCUCUGUUGAAGGGCAGUCUUCCUGUCUGGAGAGGAAACCCAGCUCUGAUUGGAGAUAGUAGUUUUUGCAGACUUCAAAGCAUCGCAAGCAACUGAACAGACAAGAGAAAGGGUUGGUAAACAGCGUUCCAGGUGCUACUCUGGAGAACCAGCCGCACAGCUCUGAUUUGAAGCUAUGUAGACAUACUUUCAUCGGAAGCCAAAAGCUGGUGGUUUGUUUGUAUGCUUGGUUUGUUUUUUUCUUCUGCUUCUUUCUAUAGUAUUACUCCCUUCUAGCAUCUGCAUCUAAUUUCAUCUCAAGUAAUGCAAGUUGUUCCUCCAGGCUCACACUCCAGGGCACAGAGAGAGAUUGGCAAAGGGCCAUCUAAGGAGGUAGGAGGAAGGCAAGGGCACGUGUUUUGAAACUACGAGGAAGGUGAUGCUUUCAACAGGGCAAGUCUGAGACUGAGAGGGUGUGGCAGAACAGAGGAACAUUCUAGUGGUUCCUACUAGGUAGACAAGCCAGUUUGGCCUCCUGAAUUUAGACUUUAACACUGAGUCUGGGUAUAGCUUAAAAUUUAGUGUAUAUGUGAGGAAGAAGAACAUGGAAAAUUGGAAUGAACGAAUGGGACCCGGUGUCGGAGCCUGAGUGCCAUUAAAGGUCUGGACUCUGUAUGCUGUGGAAACAGGGAGGCAAGAAACAGAGACUACGGAAAGAUGGGAACUCCAACCAUGGGAGGUAGAAUGAAGCAAGCUCAGGAAGGCCAACUACAUCUGCUGUCACUUGGAUGCUUGUCCAGCACAACGUAAGCCCCUGAACUUAGAAAGCACAUAGGAGAGACGAUGACAUCGAUAGAUCUAAUCGCUGGAGGAUAGCAACAUAAAAUGUUUUUUACCAGUACAUGUUUUGGUGUGUGUUAAGGUCAUUGAGCUGAGUAGAUGGGACCUGGAAAACUAUAUAGUCAGGUGAUUGAAAAUGACAAAUGCAUAAUUUCCAUUUGAUAGACAUAGGGGACAGGCAGUGAGGGAAAAGUUACCUGCACCAUGUGUUUGACAUUGGUGGUUUUGACUGACACAGGUUCACUACUUGCUCCACAUUUCCUUUCCAACCUACGCUAGUAGCUUUUCUAUCUGCUGUGAUAAAAUUCCCAGCUAAAGUGACCUACAGAGGAAGUAUGAAUUUAGACCUAAAGUUCCAGAGUACACAGGCCAUGGUGGCAGGGUAGGUGCAGGAGGCGAUGCGUCCUAUUACAUCUGUAAUCAGGAAGCAGGCAUAAUGAAAGAUGUUCAACCUCACUUUCUCAUUUCAUUCAAAUCGAAACCCCAGCCCAUAGAAUCAUACCUUCCACUUUCAGGGUGUCUUUUUCCACCUCAAUGAACCAAAUCUAGACUUAUUUAAAGGAUCGUUUCCAUACCGACUCAAGUUCUGGUCGAAUUGACAUUUGGUGUUAGCUAUCACACAGCUUUGAUUUCACCCUGAGUCUUGGCCCUUGGGAUCCCUGCAACACUGAACUUCUGUCAGGCAGCUGUGCCCUGGCUUCCUGUCUGAGGGUGGGUGAGUCACCUGUUCCCACUGGGUCCUGCAUUCCUCAUGUGUGAAAUGAGGAUGGGACAACAGUCUAGCUGUAUGUCUGGAACAAGAAGCACCUGUUGCCAGCAUUCUCUUUAAUAAGCAAGCAAGCAAACAAACAAAGCCAGCCAAUGAAUCCUUCCUGUCAUCAUCCAUGUCUUACAGAUGGCCUAAUAGAUGAUACAUUAAAUGAUACAUAAUGCUCAAAAGGCCAUAGGGUAACGUGUCCUGCUGACAGGCUCAGCCACCUCACUUUUAGCACCAUUCCUUCUACUCCAAGCAGGUGAUACUGAUGUCUAGAAGUAAACAAAGAAAUGUGCUCAGCUUCCCGAGAUUUCUCUUUUUAAUUAUUUUUAUUUAUGUACCUAUUGAGCUGUGUGGACUGCAUGCACGCAAGUGCCUAUUGAGGUCAGAAGUGAGCAUCAGAUCCCACAGAGCCAGAUGCAGAGGCAGUUGUGAGCUGUCUAAAACGGUGGCCGGGAACUGAAUUCAGGUCCUCUGGAAAUGCAGUGAGUUUUCCUAAGCCCUGAGCAGUCCCUUCAUUCCUGCUGUAAUUUUUAUUGAAUACACCAAGCUUUCAUUAGUUCUUCUUCAUAAAGCCAGACCAACAGCAAGGGAAUCAUUUUAAUGGGGUCACUGCAACAUUUUAGAAGUUGGAUUCAUUCUGUUUAAAACCACUUCCUUUCAUUGGGAUGCACGCAGCUGCCACGCUUCCUUCUGUGGGCAGAACUUCAUGGCCAGCUGCAGGAGGUUAUGCACUUGGAUGCAGUAAGCCGACGGACAAAGCAACUCCACAUUCUUUUCGUAAAACUUUGCGUCUCUCUGGCCAUUCGAGGACAAGAAUCCGGGGCCAAAAGGGACCCUGAGCUCAUGUAUGCCAUCACCCUGAACUCACGUAGUCCAACAGCUAUGCAGAGGUUUUAACGGUUUUCUUGAAUUAAGAUAUCACUUCAGGAUCCUGGACUUGUAGUUGUCCGUUUCCUCGUGACCGCUCCAGCUGCUUGCUCUGUAAUUAACUCACAUUUAACACAGCUGAAGCAAAGUCCACGGUACCAUCUCCAGGUUCCAAUUUUUCCUUUUGAGACCCACUCACUCUAACAACCUUAAACCUGCUCUUUGACAUCCAUUUCUUGAUUUUUUUUUUCAGUUAGUAAAUUCUGAUCAUCAUGUCCCCCCUCUAAGGCGUUUCUGUAUCUGUCCUUCUCUGCGUACUUUCCCUUUCCACACUCAAGACUACGGCACCGUCCUGCUCUAGGUGGCGUCACAACUGCUCCCUCACAACCCUUGGUGAUCACACCUGCACACCAUGGUUCUAAACAGGAUGCAUUUUCCAAUCUUACCAACCAUAGAACUUCUUUUUUUCACUCCCAGGGCCCUUUCUGGGAAAUACUUACUGGUCCAGCGUUUCCAGAUGAAUUGUUGUCCCCUCUCACUGUGACAUCUGUCCACCCCCUUUUGUCACUAAACUUGUUAUUUCCUCCGCUUAGAAUGCCCUUCUUCCUGGCUCCUGCCAUUGGGAAAGCCUACGCUGUUUCACGGCUCAGUUCAAAUGUUCCUUAUUCUCUGAAGCUGCCUUUGAUCUCACGACCUGGCAUGACCCCCACGGUUUUGGAGGACUAUGUACGUGAUUCUAUUAUAAUAUUUAACAACAUAUGCUAUGUAAAAUAUAUCACCUAAUAGUGCUAUACUGUAGAUGUGAGUCUAUUACAUAUUUAAUAAUUUAUAUAUAAAUUGCAGACAAUAUUUACUGUAAUUUAAAAAUUACAUGCUGGUUGUGUGUAUUUGAGUCUAUCUGCCAACAAU